rnacentral:rRNA from 3 species
CUGGCGGCUUUAGCGCGGUGGUCCCACCUGACCCCAUGCCGAACUCAGAAGUGAAACGCCGUAGCGCCGAUGGUAGUGUGGGGUCUCCCCAUGCGAGAGUAGGGAACUGCCAGGC